CCUACGGGAGGCAGCAGUGAGGAAUAUUGGUCAAUGGGCGUAAGCCUGAACCAGCCAAGUCGCGUGAGGGAUGAAGGUUCUAUGGAUCGUAAACCUCUUUUAUAAGGGAAUAAAGUGCGGGACGUGUCCCGUUUUGUAUGUACCUUAUGAAUAAGGAUAGGCUAACUCCGUGCCAGCAGCCGCGGUAAUACGGUGGAUCCGAGCGUUAUACGGAUUUAUUUGGAUUAAAGGGUGCGUAGGCGGCCUUUUAAGUCAGCGGUGAAAGUCUGUGGCUCAACCAUAGAAUUGCCGUUGAAACUGGGAGUCUUGAGUAUGUUUGAGGCAGGCGGAAUGCGUGGUGUAGCGGUGAAAUGCUUAGAUAUCACGCAGAACCCCGAUUGCGAAGGCAGCCUGCCAAGCCAUGACUGACGCUGAUGCACGAAAGCGUGGGGAUCAAACAGGAUUAGAUACCCCAGUAGUC
rnacentral:rRNA from 1 species